UACGAAAGGGGCUAGCGUUGUUCGGAAUUACUGGGCGUAAAGCGCACGUAGGCGGCCUUGUAAGAUGGGGGUGAAAUCCCCGGGCUCAACCCGGGAAUUGCCUUCAUGACUGCAAAGCUCGAGGAUGCGAGAGGUGAAUGGAAUUCCGAGUGUAGAGGUGAAAUUCGUAGAUAUUCGGAAGAACACCGGUGGCGAAGGCGACUGUCUGGCACAUUUCUGACGCUGAGGUGCGAAAGCGUGGGGAGCAAACAGG
rnacentral:rRNA from 1 species